AUGCUUGCUUCAGCAGCAUAUAUACUAAAAUUGAAAUGAUACAGAGAUUAGCAUGGCCCCCUAGGCAAGGAUGACAUGCAAAUUCGUGAAGUGUUCCAUAUUUUU
rnacentral:snRNA from 1 species